rnacentral:misc_RNA from 1 species
CGGCGAUCCUUGGCGGCGGAGCAGCAGCGGUCUCAGCCCCUCUCAGAUAUGAAGUUCAUUGCUGCAUACCUUCUUGCCGUACUGGGUGGGAAUACUAGCCCAUCAAGUGAUCAAAUCAAGAACAUCCUGGGUUCAGUUGGUGCUGAAGCUGAUGAUGCGACUAUUGAGUUCCUUUUGUCUGAGGUGAGAGGCAAAGACAUAACCGAACUGAUUG